AAAUGCUCUGUUGAAUAAGCGCUAUUGUAUUAGCUGACUCCAACUUGUUCGUACAGACGCCAGUAUGUCACGUGGUCUCUUCCAAGGCUGUAGCGUAUGAUUCACAGCAGGAAGUAUCGCGAGAGUUGGUUCCUCUUCUUGUGCUCGU